UUAGUGAGCACAUAUCAAGUGA
rnacentral:misc_RNA from 1 species